rnacentral:tRNA from 1 species
GCUAGUGAUGACAAAUGGGGAGUCCUGCCGCUCAUAACGGUAUAUCCGAAAGGAUCAAGUCGGUUCGAUUCCGGCCACUAGUACCA